GAGGGACAUCUCGUGUUCUCAGGUGAUGUUAUAAAGGUUAUUACGUGAGGAACAUGUUGGGGUCUCAGGUGAUGUUAUAAAGGUUAUCUCAUUGUCUCAGGUGAUGUUCUAAGGUUCUUACGUGAGGGACUGAUGUUCUAAGGUUCUUACGUGAGGGACAUCUCGUGGUCUCCAUGGUGAUGUUCUAAGGUUCUUACGUGAGGGACUGAUGUUCUAAGGUUCUUACGUGAGGGACUGAUGUUCUAAGGUUCUUACGUGAGGGACAUCUCGUGGUCUCCAUGGUGAUGUUCUAAGGUUCUUACGUGAGGGCCAUCUCGUGGUCUCCAUGGUGAUGUUCUAAGGUUCUUACGUGAGGGACAUCUCGUGGUCUCCAUGGUGAUGUUCUAAGGUUCUUACGUGAGGGACAUCUCGUG